rnacentral:rRNA from 1 species
AGUGAACGCUGGCGGUAGGCCUAACACAUGCAAGUCGAACGGCAGCACAGUAAGAGCUUGCUCUUACGGGUGGCGAGUGGCGGACGGGUGAGGAAUACAUCGGAAUCUACUUUUUCGUGGGGGAUAACGUAGGGAAACUUACGCUAAUACCGCAUACGACCUACGGGUGAAAGCAGGGGAUCUUCGGACCUUGCGCGAUUGAAUGAGCCGAUGUCGGAUUAGCUAGUUGGCGGGGUAAAGGCCCACCAAGGCGACGAUCCGUAGCUGGUCUGAGAGGAUGAUCAGCCACACUGGAGCUGAGACACGGUCCAGACUCCUACGGGAGGCAGCAGUGGGGAAUAUUGGACAAUGGGCGCAAGCCUGAUCCAGCCAUACCGCGUAGGUGAAGAAGGCCUUCGGGUUGUAAAGCCCUUUUGUUGGGAAAGAAAAGCAGCAGGUUAAUACCCCGCUGUUCGGACGGUACCCAAAGAAUAAGCACCGGCUAACUUCGU